rnacentral:rRNA from 1 species
CAAUAGCGUAUAUUUAAGUUGCUGCAGUUAAAAAGCUCGUAGUUGGAUUUCGGGUGGGAAUGGCCGGUCCGCCGUUUCGGUGUGCACUUGCUAGGCCCACCUUGCUGCCGGGGACGUGCUCUUGAAUUUCGGCUCGGGACACGGAGUCGGCGAGGUUACUUUGAGUAAAUUAGAGUGUUCAAAGCAGGCCUACGCUCUGAAUACAUUAGCAUGGAAUAACACGAUAGGACUCUGGCCUAUCUUGCUGGUCUGUAGGACCGGAGUAAUGAUUAAGAGGGACAGUCGGGGGCAUUCGUAUUUCAUUGUCAGAGGUGAAAUUCUUGGAUUUAUGAAAGACGAACUACUGCGAAAGCAUUUGCCAAGGAUGUUUUCAUUAA